GGUAGGGUUAGGUGCCUGGAUUGCCACCACAACCAGUUACACAUCUAUAGGACUCCCAGUGCCAGUAAUUAGCUUAUUGGUCUAGAUUCCUGUCAUCAUUCACGUAAAUUUCCCUCCCUCUCUUGUUUUGCCACUUUUCAGAAAUCCGAAGCACUUCAGCACUUCCGAAAUGUCUGAAUUGCUGAAAUUUGUCCGAAUUUACUUUCUGAACGAAAUUAAUUGCACAUGUCUACU